rnacentral:rRNA from 1 species
GACAGAGGGGGCAAGCGUUGCUCGGAAUCACUGGGCGUAAAGGGCGCGUAGGCGGGAUGGCAAGUCGGUCGUGAAAUCCUUCGGCCCAACCGAAGAACGUCGGCCGAUACUGCCAUUCUUGAGGGAUGCAGAGGAGACUGGAAUUCCCGGUGUAGCGGUGAAAUGUGUAGAGAUCGGGAGGAACACCGGUGGCGAAGGCGGGUCUCUGGGCCGAUACUGACGCUGAGGAGCGAAAGCGUGGGGAGCGAACAGG